UACGUAGGGGGCAAGCGUUGUCCGGAAUCAUUGGGCGUAAAGAGCGUGUAGGCGGUCCGGUAAGUCCGCUGUGAAAGUCGAGGGCUCAACCCUCGAAUGCCGGUGGAUACUGUCGGGCUAGAGUGCGGAAGAGGCGAGUGGAAUUCCUGGUGUAGCGGUGAAAUGCGCAGAUAUCAGGAGGAACACCUAUUGCGAAGGCAGCUCGCUGGGACGUAACUGACGCUGAGACGCAAAAGCGUGGGGAGCAAACAGG
rnacentral:rRNA from 1 species